rnacentral:rRNA from 1 species
GAUGAACGCUGGCGGCGUGCCUAAUACAUGCAAGUCGAGCGAACAGACGAGGAGCUUGCUCCUCUGACGUUAGCGGCGGACGGGUGAGUAACACGUGGAUAACCUACCUAUAAGACUGGGAUAACUUCGGGAAACCGGAGCUAAUACCGGAUAAUAUAUUGAACCGCAUGGUUCAAUAGUGAAAGACGGUUUUGCUGUCACUUAUAGAUGGAUCCGCGCCGCAUUAGCUAGUUGGUAAGGUAACGGCUUACCAAGGCAACGAUGCGUAGCCGACCUGAGAGGGUGAUCAGGCAGACUGGGACUGAGCCACGCUCCAGACUCCUGCUGGAGGCAGCAGCAGGGAGUGUUCCGCAACGGUCGACAGCCUGACGGACUAUCGCCGCGGGAGUGAUGAAGGUCUUCGGAUCCUAGGACUCUGUUAUUAGGAAAGAACCAAAGUGUAAGUGCCUAUGCCCGUCCUGCCGGUACCGAAUCAGAAGGCCACGACUCACUUCGUG